CCUACGGUAGACAGCAGUGGGGAAUAUUGCACAAUGGGGGAAACCCUGAUGCAGCAAUGCCGCGUGGGUGAAGAAGUACUUCGGUGCGUAAAGCCCUGUCAGCAGGGAAGAAAAUGACAGUACCUGACCAAGAAGCCCCGGCUAACUACGUGCCAGCAGCCGCGGUAAUACGUAGGGGGCAAGCGUUAUCCGGAUUUACUGGGUGUAAAGGGAGCGCAGGCGGUAUGGCAAGUCAGAUGUGAAAACCCAGGGCUCAACCCUGGGACUGCAUUUGAAACUGCGAUACUGGAGUGCCGGAGAGGUGAGUGGAAUUCCUAGUGUAGCGGUGAAAUGCGUAGAUAUUAGGAGGAACACCAGUGGCGAAGGCGGUCUGCUGGACAGCAACUGACGCUGAGGCGCGAAAGCGUGGGGAGCAAACAGGAUUAGAUACCCGGGUAGUC
rnacentral:rRNA from 1 species